rnacentral:rRNA from 1 species
AACGAACGCUGGCGGCAUGCCUAAUACAUGCAAGUCGAACGAUCACUUCGGUGAUAGUGGCGCACGGGUGCGUAACGCGUGGGAAAUCUGCCCUUGGGUUCGGAAUAACUUCUGGAAACGGAAGCUAAUACCGGAUGAUGACGUAAGUCCAAAGAUUUAUCGCCCAAGGAUGAGCCCGCGUAGGAUUAGCUAGUUGGUGGGGUAAAGGCUCACCAAGGCGACGAUCCUUAGCUGGUCUGAGAGGAUGAUCAGCCACACUGGGACUGAGACACGGCCCAGACUCCUACGGGAGGCAGCAGUAGGGAAUAUUGGACAAUGGGCGAAAGCCUGAUCCAGCAAUGCCGCGUGAGUGAUGAAGGCCUUAGGGUUGUAAAGCUCUUUUACCCGGGAUGAUAAUGACAGUACCGGGAGAAUAAGCUCCGGCUAACUCCGUGCCAGCAGCCGCGGUAA